rnacentral:rRNA from 1 species
GUGUCAGCAGCCGCGGUAAUACAGAGGGUGCAAGUGUUGUUCGGAAUCAUUGGGCGUAAAGGGCGCGUAGGUGGUCCGGUAAGUCAGAUGUGAAAGCCCUGGGCUUAACCCAGGAAAUGCAUUUGAAACUGCCGGACUAGAGUUCAGUAGAGGAUAGUGGAAUUCCCGGUGUAGAGGUGAAAUUCGUAGAGAUCGGGAGGAACACCAGUGGCGAAAGCGGCUAUCUGGGCUGCAACUGACACUGAGGCGCGAAAGCGUGGGGAGCAAACAGGAUUAGAAACCCUAGUAGUCC